GUGCAGCAGGCGCGAAACCUUUACAAUGCCUUCACGGGCGAUAAGGGGAUCCUGAGUGCUCUAGCAUUGCUAGAGCUUUUCCAGAGUGUAAAAAGCUCUGGGAAUAAGUGGUGGGUAAGACGGGUGCCAGCCGCCGCGGUAAUACCCGCGCCACAAGUGGUGACCACGUUUAUUGGGUCUAAAGCGUCCGUAGCCGGCUGGG
rnacentral:rRNA from 1 species